GAUGAACGCUGGCGGCGUGCCUAAUACAUGCAAGUCGAGCGACCAGACGAGGAGCUUGCUCCUCUGACGUUAGCGGCGGACGGGUGAGUAACACGUGGAUAACCUACCUAUAAGACUGGGAUAACUUCGGGAAACCGGAGCUACUACCGGAUAAUAUAUUGAACCGCAUGGUUCAAUAGUUCAAGACGGUUUUGCUGUCACUUAUAGCUGGAUCCGCGCCGCAUUAGCUAGUUGGUAAGGUAACGGCUUACCAAGGCAACGAUGCGUAGCCGACCUGAGAGGGUGAUCGGCCACACUGGUACUGAGACACGGUCCAGACUCCUACGGGAGGCAGCAGUAGGGAAUCUUCGGCAAUGGGCGAAAGCUUGACGGAGCAACGCCGCGUGAGUGAUGAAGGUCUUCGGAUCGUAAAACUCUGUUAUUAGGGAAGAACAAAUGUGUAAGUAAAUAUGCACGUCUUGACGGUACCUAAUCAGAAAGCCACGGCUAACUACGUG
rnacentral:rRNA from 1 species